rnacentral:misc_RNA from 1 species
AUUUGUUACAGUUGGUGAAAAGGACCCAUGUAGUGGACCCUUGCUAAUUUGGAAUUGAAGAUUAGCUGAGUUAGUUGAAUUAGAGAAAGAAAACUAUCCUGAGGCUAGUGUUUCUAAAAAUUUUGUUACAAAACCUUUGGUAUUUUGUGCUGCAAAAGAUGCAAAAUGUUACUGGAAAUGAAAAAUGAGGAUGCAAAGAGAGAUUUUUGAUGUAUGGACACCAACUUUAACUGA